ensembl:lncRNA novel transcript
CCCCUCUACGGUGUCCUUGCAAAGUGUGGCAGUCACUACAGGUUUGAGGAAGGCUCUGUCGCUGCUCUGGCCGUAGGCACAGCGGACUCUGGAGGACACUGGAGAUGAACAAACCGUGUGGAUGCCCUCAAGAUGUGUACAACUAUAGAACAGGAGAUGGGUACGACCAUAGAACAGGAGAUGGGAGGGUCCAACCAUGGACCGGGUUCCGCCAGUAUGAGCCAUGAGCCAGUUGAAUCUGAAUGCAAAGAACAAGGACCGACUGGAGUCACAAUGCUUAACGGACCAAUGCUUUCUGACUCAGCUCCUCUCUACCCUGAAUAAAGAGACCCUAAUAGUUAGGCAGGAGUAUCAUCACCCCUGUUCAGCAUGAAGAAGUUACAGAAGAUGGACGUUCAUCCUUCUGCAACCCCUAGGAUUAAGGGUCCUCUUGUAAAAGGGAAAGGGGAGGUAUGUGGGAAGCAUUCAAACCAGAGUGACUCCAGUUUGAAAAAGGGCUAAGAAAAAUGAAGCUGGAUCACCAACUGGCAAUUAAGGAGUGCACAGCCUACAAUUGCCUUGCUCAGUUAAAAAAGGCCACCUUUUAUGCUAGUAAUAAUGAUAGCAAUAGUGAUACCUUCUCUUUUACAAAGAAGAGAAGGGGGACAUGUUGGGAAAAAGCUGAGUAUUGGGAAGAAAGCUGAGGCAGUGCUUGCAUGUCUGACAUAAUGUCCUCUGGAAUGUGUCUAGACUUGCUGGCUUCUUGCUUCUAGCCCUCCUAGGCUCCUAAAUAGAUUGUAUUCCCAUCAUCUCAAGUACCAGAACAUGUUCCUUAUAAAUGCUAAACCAUCACAGCUAUAGAUCAGGCACCUGCCCUUUUGACCGCCACAUUCUCACCACCUGUUUCUUUGUUGGAUUACCAAUAAAUAGUGUGGGCUCCCAGAGCUUGGGGCCUUUGCAGCCUCCCCAAUCGCGAUGGCCCCUGGUUCCACUUUACUUCUCAAACUGUCUUUUUCUCAACCCUUUGACUCUGCCAGACUUCGUCACCCCCACGACCUGGUGUUGGGUCUGAUCACCCCAACGACCUAUAUUUUGUGCUACCCUCUUAUCUCAUUCUGUGACUAAGAAUGCCUAACCUCCUGGGAAGGCAGCCCAGUAGGUCUGAGCCUUAUUUUUCUCAGUCCUUAUUCAAGAUGGAGUUGCUCUGGUUCGAAUGCCUCUGACACUUAGAGCUUUGUUGUUGAAAACUGAAUUAUAUACUGUACUUUUUCUUUUCUCUUAUUGAAAAAUCAUCCUACUUUGUUGAUUAUUUUCUGUAACGUCUUGAGGUAAUUUAAAAUUCCACCUGUCUCCAUCAGAGAGACAGGGACUCUUGUC